rnacentral:lncRNA from 1 species
CGUGUGUCGGGCCCCGCAGUGCGCGCGUGGGCGGCUGCUCCGGGGGGCGGAGUGUGUGUUUGGGUGCGCGUGUGCCCGCGGGUGCGCGCUUGUUUGUACGUGGGAGUGUCUGUGUGCUUGUGUGAGCUUCUCGUGUGCUGUGGGAUUGUGCGUGUGCCCGCCUGUGCAAGUGCUUGUGUGGUUCAGUGCGGGUGUGUGCCCACGCCUGUGCACGCUUCUGCGUUUGUGUGAGUGUGCGUGGAUUCUUUCCGGUGCAUCUGUGUAUGUGCAUUUUGUGCACGUGUAUUCGUGUGAAUGUGUUCUUACACGUCAGCGUGUGUGCCUCUGUGUGCUUUUGUCUUGCCUGUGUGUGCACAGGGGUUUGUUCACACAACUGUUCCUUCAUACAGGUUUGUGUGCUUAAGUUUUUGCAUGGAUGUGCACAUGGUGCACGUGUGCACAUGUGCAUUUGUGUAAAUGCAUCGAGUGUGUAAAAGCAUUAUCUGAAGUACCGAUGGACAUGGGUGUGUGAGCUGGGAAAUUCUGGCAGCCAGUCACAAAGCAUGGGUCCUUGCAGGUGUGUCCACAGAGGGGUUUGCAUUUUCCUGUGUUCAAGUCUGUGGGGGUGUGUCUUAGAUGCAUGGAGUACAUUUGUGGAAAGAUGUAUCCUGGUUAGGAACUUUGAAUGUGGACUGAAGCUUUCUAUAUAGGUGUGGGUGCAUGCAUGAAUUUGUAUGACCACAUAUUUUUAUACAUACAUGAUACAUGUAAUAGUACCACAACACCACAGAUAACAGUAAUGAAGAAAUCUGGAAAGGUAAUGAUUCACCCUUUAGUUCCAAAGCCCAGUUUAAGAGAGGAGGUUUGCACGGCUGUGAUUCUGCUCCCAUGUGGGUGUCAGGGUGAGCAGUAUGUGCCUUUCUUCCACCUGUACUUAAAACCAAACCCUCUUUCAGUGAGGCCAGCAGCAAUUCAGUGUGCCUCUGCCUAUGGCUGGCUGAACUCUAUAGCUCUAAUGCAUGAGGAGAGAAUACCUUCAGCUACAAGUGCUGACACUUACCAGCCCCAUUGGAUCCGUACAUGUUUGUUGACUGGGGAGAAGCAAAGAGUACACUUUAAUUGAGUGGAUGAACAUUUACUGAAUUUAUCUAUACAAUGAUUCAUCAAAUGUUCUUCAGAAGCAGCUGUUAUUCUCAUACAAUAACUGGCUUCUGUGUCACCCUUUCUUGUUGAAUGAAGUAAGUCAACAACCUUCCUACCCUCUCUUAGAUGCACUUCUUCCAAAACAAGGCUGAAACACCUAUCAGUAUGUCUGUGUGAGAGGCUAAAAGUAGUGACACCUGCUCUGCAGAUAAACAUCAGUCUUCAGAGCUCUCACUGCAGUAUCUGCAGCUGAUGCUGUGCCGUUUUAUGUAACCCAUUUUCUUAUUUUCCAUAUGGCCAACAACCUUGAAUGAGAACAGGAUCUUAUCUGCUUAUUGUCUCUACUUGAAUUAAUAAUCUUCUGUUUGUGAUAUCUCAAAUUAUUGCUAUGAAAAUGACUGUAAUUUCACAGAAGGCCGUGGUAAAAAAUAAGAUGUAAAUGCUUCUAAUCAAAGAUACUCUUCAUGCAAAUGAAAUUCUAAUUAGAAGAGGAAACAAUCUGUUUUAGCAGACCACCAUGAGAAGAGCUGCUCAGCAUUAAAUAUAGUUUGAUAAAGACAUUAGCUUGCAAAAAGAUACUGGAGUAAGUAAAAGUAAUUGAGUGUUUGAUCUGGCUUUUAGGUUAUAAUCCUAGCAUAUUCAAUCCAUGGAUUGAAUUUAGGAAUUGGUUUAGGGUUGAAUAUAGCUGUAAUCAGUAUAAUUUUUGCUGUUAGGACCUUUACAAAAAUAAAUAUUUCAUUUUUUUUACA